rnacentral:rRNA from 1 species
GCGGACGGGUGAGUAACACGUGGGAACGUGCCUUUAGGUUCGGAAUAACUCAGGGAAACUUGUGCUAAUACCGAAUGUGCCCUUCGGGGGAAAGAUUUAUCGCCUUUAGAGCGGCCCGCGUCUGAUUAGCUAGUUGGUGAGGUAAAGGCUCACCAAGGCGACGAUCAGUAGCUGGUCUGAGAGGAUGAUCAGCCACAUUGGGACUGAGACACGGCCCAAACUCCUACGGGAGGCAGCAGUGGGGAAUCUUGCGCAAUGGGCGAAAGCCUGACGCAGCCAUGCCGCGUGAAUGAUGAAGGUCUUAGGAUUGUAAAAUUCUUUCAGUAGGGACGAUAAUGACGGUACCUACAGAAGAAGCCCCGGCUAACUUCGUGCCAGCAGCCGCGGUAAUACGAAGGGGGCUAGCGUUGCUCGGAAUUACUGGGCGUAAAGGGAGCGUAGGCGGACAUUUAAGUCAGGGGUGAAAUCCCGGGGCUCAACCUCGGAAUUGCCUUUGAUACUGGGUGUCUUGAGUGUGAGAGAGGUAUGUGGAACUCCGAGUGUAGAGGUGAAAUUCGUAGAUAUUCGGAAGAACACCAGUGGCGAAGGCGACAUACUGGCUC